UACGGAGGGGGCUAGCGUUGUUCGGAAUUACUGGGCGUAAAGCGCACGUAGGCGGCUUUGUAAGUUAGAGGUGAAAGCCCCGGGGCUCAACUCCGGAAUUGCCUUUAAGACUGCAUCGCCAGAAUUGUGGAGAGGUAAGUGGAAUUCCGAGUGUAGAGGUGAAAUUCGUAGAUAUUCGGGAGAACACCAGUGGCGAAGGCGACUUACUGGACACAUAUUGACGCUGAGGUGACGAAAGCGUGGGGAGCAAACAGG
rnacentral:rRNA from 1 species